rnacentral:rRNA from 1 species
UGACCUCGGAUCAGACGUGAAUACCCGCUGAACUUAAGCAUAUCACUAAGCGGAGGAAAAAAAACUAACCAGG